rnacentral:rRNA from 1 species
UACAGAGGGUGCGAGCGUUGUCCGGAAUCACUGGGCGUAAAGGGCGCGUAGGCGGUCCGCUAAGUGUGUGGUGAAAGCUCGGGGCUCAACCCCGAGUCGGCCGUGCAAACUGGUGGACUCGAGCAUGUCAGAGGCAGGCGGAAUUCCGGGUGUAGCGGUGGAAUGCGUAGAUAUCAGGAGGAACACCAGUCGCGAAGGCGCUUAACUGGCUCAUUACUGACGCUCAGGGACGAAAGCUAGGGUAGCAAACGGG